UAAUGCCGUCGAAAAUGAGUAU
rnacentral:siRNA from 1 species